rnacentral:rRNA from 1 species
UACGUAGGGUGCAAGCGUUGUCCGGAAUUAUUGGGCGUAAAGAGCUCGUAGGCGGUUUGUCGCGUCGAAUGUGAAAACCCGGGGCUCAACCCCGGGCCUGCAUUCGAUACGGGCAGACUAGAGUUCGGUAGGGGAGUCUGGAAUUCCUGGUGUAGCGGUGAAAUGCGCAGAUAUCAGGAGGAACACCGAUGGCGAAGGCAGCUCGCUGGGACGGUACUGACGCUGAGGCGCGAAAGCGUGGGGAGCAAACAGG